UACGUAGGGGGCAAGCGUUGUCCGGAAUCAUUGGACGUAAAGAGCGUGUAGGCGGCUCGAUAAGUCCGCUGUGAAAGUCCAGGGCUCAACCCUGGAAGGCCGGUGGAAACUGUCGGGCUAGAGUCCGGAAGAGGCGAGUGGAAUUCCCGGUGUAGCGGUGAAAUGCGCAGAUAUCGGGAGGAACACCAAUGGCGAAGGCAGCUCGCUGGGACGGUACUGACGCUGAGACGCGAAAGCGUGGGGAGCAAACAGG
rnacentral:rRNA from 1 species